CCUACGGGGGGCAGCAGUGGGGAAUCUUGCGCAAUGGGCGAAAGCCUGACGCAGCAACGCCGCGUGCGGGAUGAAGGCCUUCGGGUUGUAAACCGCUUUCAGCAGGGACGAAUUUUGACGGUACCUGCAGAAGAAGCCCCGGCCAACUACGUGCCAGCAGCCGCGGUAACACGUAGGGGGCGAGCGUUGUCCGGAUUUAUUGGGCGUAAAGAGCUCGUAGGCGGCUCGGUAAGUCAACUGUGAAAGCUCCGGGCUCAACUCGGAGAGGCCAGUUG
rnacentral:rRNA from 1 species